rnacentral:tRNA from 1 species
GAGGAUAUAGCUCAGUGGCAAAGCAUGUGUUUAGCAUGCACGAGGUCUUGGAUUCAAUCCCCAGUACUUCCA